GACGAACGUUGGCGGCGUGCUUAACACAUGCAAGUCGAACGGUGAAGCGCCUUCCUUUUUGGUGGGUGUGGAUGAGUGGCGAACGGGUGAGUAACACGUGAGUAACCUGCCCCCUUCUUCUGGAUAACCGCAUGAAAGUGUGGCUAAUACGGGAUAUUCUGGGUCUGUCGCAUGAUGGGUCUGGGAAAGAUAUUGUUUCGGUGGGGGAUGGGCUCGCGGCCUAUCAGCUUGUUGGUGGGGUGAUGGCCUACCAAGGCGGUGACGGGUAGCCGGCCUGAGAGGGUGGACGGUCACACUGGGACUGAGACACGGCCCAGACUCCUACGGGAGGCAGCAGUGGGGAAUAUUGCACAAUGGGCGCAAGCCUGAUGCAGCGACGCCGCGUGAGGGAUGGAGGCCUUCGGGUUGUGAACCUCUUUCGCCAGUGAAGCAGGCCUGCCUCGUUUGUGGGUGGGUUGACGGUAGCUGGAGAAGAAGCGCCGGCUAACUACGUG
rnacentral:rRNA from 1 species